GCGCUCUUCUGAUCUCUGGCAAUGAUUUGUUCAGAUUUAACUAAAAGCUAUGAUGCGAUUGGUUUGUCUAUGCUGGACAAUCGAAUUUGGGUGUUUGUUGCAGAAUGUAUGGUCGGUGUGCUCUGGCCUUUACAGUUUCCUUUCC